rnacentral:rRNA from 1 species
CGGUCAUCCGAGUUGUAAUCUAGAGAAGUGUUACCCGCGUCGGACCGUGUACAAGUCUCCUGGAAUGGAGCGUCAUAGAGGGUGAGAAUCCCGUCUUUGACACGGACUACCGAGGCUUUGUGGUGCUCUCAAAGAGUCGAGUUGUUUGGGAAUGCAGCUCAAAAUGGGUGGUAAAUUCCAUCUAAAGCUAAAUAUUGGCGAGAGACCGAUAGCGAACAAGUACCGUGAGGGAAAGAUGAAAAGAACUUUGGAAAGAGAGUUAAACAGUACGUGAAAUUGCUGAAAGGGAAACGCUUGAAGUCAGUCGCGUUGGCCGGAAAUCAGCCCUGCUUUAGUGGGGUGUACUUUCUGGUCGACGGGCCAGCAUCAGUUUUGACCGGUGGAAAAAGUCUGGAGGAAUGUGGCAUCUUCGGGUGUGUUAUAGCCUCUGGUCGUAUACAUCGGUUGGGACUGAGGAACGCAGUACUUGUACUUCGGAUGCUGGCAUAAUGGCUUUAAUCGACCCGUCUUGAAACACGGACCAAGGAGUCUAACAUGCCUGCGAGUAUUUGGGUGGAAAACCCGAGUGCGCAAUGAAAGUGAAAGUCGAGAUCCCUGUCGCGGGGAGCAUCGACGCCCGGACCUGAAGUUUUCUGACGGUUCUGCGGUAGAGCAUGUAUGUUGGGACCCGAAAGAUGGUGAACUAUGCCUGAAUAGGGUGAAGCCAGAGGAAACUCUGGUGGAGGCUCGUAGC